AACAUUCUGCAAACAGCUUUUGCAUUUUCAGCAAAUACCUUCAACAAUUAAAGUAAAUUGCGUCACAAUUUUCAACAAAAAGCUUCAGCAUCUUCAGCCACCACUUUCUGCAGAAAACAUUCACACCAACAUCAUCGCAGGAUGAUGCGCCGCUCCUCCUCGGUCAGGUGGCUCAGGUCCGGCAGGUCUGACCCGCUCCCGGUCCCAGCCCCGCCGGGCGGCGCAGGUCCGGCCGCUCGAGACAUCCUCGGAACCGCUGGAAGAGACGGACGCGGCCGGUCAGACCGUCACACCACUGAUGAGGCGGGAUGAUGAUGAUGGUGAUGGGGGGGCGAGGAUGGGAGGCUGUAACAUUUUGUCCACCUCCAGGUGCGCGUGCGGCGCCGCGCGAGCCCCGCGGAAGGAGCUCCAUCUGCGCCUCCGCCCGCCAUCAUAUCACCCACCGGUUUAUCCCCUCAUCCAUCCAUCAUCUAUGCAUCAUCCACACCCUCCCUCUCUCUCACCGACAGGCGCAGCGGUGUCCUCUUGCCUGUUUAUUCUGCAGUCAUGUCGCCUCCUCCGGUGUUCGGCAGCGGCGGCGGCGGCUCCGGUCGGCUCCGCGUCCCGGCGCUCAUCCUCCCCCCGCGCCCCGCCUCCGCUGUGGCGCUACCCCGCCGCGGGUCGUCGAGUCGUGUCGGCGGUGGUGGUUCGUGGGAGAGCGGCGGAGACGGAGGAGAAAAUAAAUAAAUCCUCCAUAGAAAAAGGGGCGGGGCCACGCGGUGACGGCGUUACGUACGACAAAGAUCAGCAGGUCGUUGACGGGUGGGCAAUGGUGGUGGAGGUGCGGGGGUGGAGGGAGGGAGGGAGGGAGGCUAAACAUAGACCUGCAGCCAAAGAUAGAAAUACUACCGAACACCUUCAACUGUCCGCGUCUGGAUGUUUAAAUAAAGUUUUUCUAAAAAAAGAAAAAUAUUAUUAGAACGCCUAAAUAUAGCUCAAAGAUGAAGGAAAAUUCAGCCUAGUUUAUAGAAUAGAAUAGAAUAGAAUAGAAUAGAAUAGAAUGAGCACAUUAACAUUAAAUCCCAUCUGUAAAUCUGUGGUUUCACGAAAUUAACAACACGGUCAUUGGGGAAUUGCUCCCUCUAAUGGUCAAAUAUGGUAUAAAUCCAAUUGUAAACAAAAAUUCAUUUGCAUAAAUUAAAAUUAGCUUUGAGUAUUUUCACCAUUUAUAUUAAUAAUAUUAAUUAUAAGUGAUUUUUAUACCAGAAUUUGGAGAAGGUCAUACAUUAUAUAACACAUUUUUUUGCUAAUUCCAUGUAAACAAAAACAUAUUACUUCAGUAUACUUCAUUUAAUCCAAAAAUAUGUUAUUUUUCAACAUUUAAAUGUUUUUUCUUUAGACACCUUUACAUUACAGAGUUAUUCUUUUUCUCAAUUAAUUUUGAUACAAGUUAAUACUUACCCAAUUUUUUAAUGAUUUGGAUCUACAGAUAUGAUGUACACAGAACAUUAUUGUUAUUGCACAUGCUGAUUAAAUUAAAUUACCCCAAUUCCAGUCAAACAUUGAAAUAAUUUUUGAUUUAUUCUGCCCCAAUUUAACCCUGGAGAGCUAUCGCUGGAGGAUUUUUACCCGAGCAAAAGUAUUUACAUGAUUUUUCAUAUGUUACAUUUUUCCCUGGAUAAAGUCUCACUUGUCCUAGGAAUGGAUUGACCAAAUGCCAAGUUACCGGUAUCGUUAUUUUAAUUUUUGAUUCUCGUUUGGGACUUUUUUGUUCUCAAAUUCCUAUUUUUUCAGUAAUUUUGAAUGUUUUUAGGAUCUUCCAAUGCUUUUUUUUAAAUUUUGUUACAUAUAACACAAUUGAAAAUAAAAUAAAACUAAUUUAUCAUGUAUUGUCAUAUUUUGAUCUGGUUUUAUGACAAAUGGGGGAGCAUAUAAUAUCAGGUAAAAAUUACCCAACAAAAGUGAUGCUGUAACUUUUAUAGUGAAAGUGUUCUAAGGUUAAUUAAGUGUUUGUUUGUUUUUUAAUUUAGUGGCUUUCCUAAUUUGACUUUACUUUGUUAUAUGCGCUAAAAUGAAUAGAUCUUAUUUAAGAUCCUUUAAAUCAUUUCAUCAAACUGGAAGGCCUGUAUCACUGCACUUACUUGUUGGGGACGAUAGAUGGCAGUAUUGCGCUAAUCUACACUAACGUUAAAAAGUUACUUUGGUCCUUAUCUCUAAUUAUUUACUGUACUAAUAGUUUUAAAUUGUCUAUCAACCUUCGAGAAAAUUAACGCAGUUAAAAAAAAAUACCAAAAAAAAACUGUCCUUAACUUAUUUGGCUCCUCACUGUACUUUAGCGAAGUAUUAAUAAAAUUAAAAUCAGAAUUUCCUUUGUACUGUCACGUAUGCACAAUAAAACUAUGGUGCUCUCCAGGUGCUUUAAAAUAUAUAAAAGUCCGUUUUAAAAAUAAAAACACAUUUUUUAAAAAUCAGAAAAUAUAAGAGCAACAAUAUUUACAUCCAGAAUGAUAAUAUUAGACCGCACAGGUGACCAUAGAGUAAUGUAGGAUUGCAUAUGUGAAUUAUAAAUACAUUUUAAAAAUUGUGGGAGAAGAUAAAAGAAACUCCUCUAUUGAUUCAGAUCUAAAGACAUCAGAUAACAAGAAGGAUCUGAAUAUUCCAUGUCCUCCUCAUAUAUGGAUGUUUUCUCCGGUCACUCCAGUUCUUCCCACAGUCCAAAAACAGAUUUCAUAGGUUAACUGAUUAUUCUAAAUUAAGCACCAGCUCAGGAUGUGCCCCAACUUUACCCAACAGCUGAGAUAGGCUCCAGCAACGCCACGUCUCCAUGAGGGACUCAGUGGGUUCUGAAGAUGGAUCAGCGUCCAAACUGUGAAGAACAAGAAGGAAUUGUUUGUACUUCCUGUUUUAUUUUGAAAAAUCUUUUGCUUCCUGUCUGUGUUUACAGUAGUUAGAUAUAACAUAUGCUCACAUUUAACUAGACACUUCAAACUCUCUUUCUAUCAGCUGAAUUUUGAAACAUUUUCAUUUUUUCUUCUGUUCAUGUUUGAGUUUAAGACAUUUAUUUAAUAUAUAUUUUUUACUUAAACUUUAAUUUUCUGCCUUUUCUUUUCUGCGUUUGCAUGUUGAGGAAGCAUCCCUCAGUUGAAGUCUGAUUUUGAAGGAGUUAAUUCAAUGUUUAUGAACUUUACAAAUGUAAUGUAACACAAAAUUGUCAUUUAGUGUGAUUAAUAACGUCUAAAAGUAAUGUUUAACAAUUUUUCAUGUUAACAGGCCUCAUUACCUCUGAGGGAUGUUGACUCCAGCUCUCUGAAGGGGAUCAGUGUGAUGUCAUCAUGUGAUCAUGUGAUGCAUAAUUCAGACUUAAGAGGAUUAUUGUGUGGUUUUUUUUUCCUCUUAAAUGUAUUUGCUUGUUUUGUUUGUUUGAUCCAGGACGAAGCGUAAACCUGCAGACGUCUGUUUUCCGAUGAGAGGACAGAUGACCAGCAGCCGGCCGACAGAUGAAGCUGAAGGCGUGCGCGGUUUUCCUUCUGCUGGGCUGUUUCCUGUGGAGGGUGGCGUGCAGGAUGCCUGACUUCACUCCUGCUGCGCCAACGCUGCAGGAAAACUUGUCUGUGAAAUCAGGAUCAAACGUUGUCACAUCCAUAAAGAAAAAUGGUUUCUUGCGGCUUCCUGGAAUCUGUCGACGACUGAAGAGAAGAAGAGUCACAGUCCUGUGUAACAUGGAGAAAUUUUGUUGGGGGCGGAGCCGUAACAGAAGACAGAAAAUCACACCUGGGCAGGUGUGUCGCUGCCCUCGGCAUUCCAAGUGUUCACAUUUUUUUCUCCACAGCCUCUGAAUAAAGAUAAUAAUGAUUUUAAAAAUACAACACUUAUCUUAUAUUAAAGGUAAUUUGUUUGGCCUUUUUGUUGUUGGUGGUUUUCGUUUAUAUAUUUGUGUUGAUUGCUUGAAAUGAACCAAUAAA